AUUGAACGCUGGCGGCAGGCCUAACACAUGCAAGUCGAGCGGAUGAAGGGAGCUUGCUCCUGGAUUCAGCGGCGGACGGGUGAGUAAUGCCUAGGAAUCUGCCUGGUAGUGGGGGAUAACGUCCGGCAACGGGUGCUACUACCGCAUACGUCCUGAGGGAGAAAGUGGGGGAUCUUCCGAUUUCACGCUAUCAGAUGAGCCUAGGUCGGAUUAGGUAGUUGGUGGGGUAAAGGUCUACCAAGGCGACGAUCCGUAACUGGUCUGAGAGGAUGAUCAGAGACACUGGAGGCUGGACAAGGUCCAGGAGCCUUAGAGACGCCACAGGCGGGUAUAAUAGGCAAAUGGCGGAAGCCUUGUCCAGUCCUAGCGGGUGUGAUGAAAAGGCCCUGCGUGUGGUAAGACGCGUAUGUUGGGAGGAAGCGCAGUAAGUUAAUACCUUGCUGUUUUGACGUUACCAACAGAAUAAGCACCGGCUAACUACGUG
rnacentral:rRNA from 1 species